rnacentral:rRNA from 1 species
CAGUAGCCGCGGUAACACGAAGGGUGCAAGCGUUACUCGGAAUUACUGGGCGUAAAGCGUGCGUAGGUGGUGGUUUAAGUCCGUUGUGAAAGCCCUGGGCUCAACCUGGGAAUUGCAGUGGAUACUGGGUCACUAGAGUGUGGUAGAGGAUAGUGGAAUUUCCGGUGUAGCAGUGAAAUGCGUAGAGAUCGGAAGGAACAUCUGUGGCGAAGGCGACUAUCUGGGCCAACACUGACACUGAGGCACGAAAGCGUGGGGAGCAAACAGGAUUAGAUACCCGUGUAGUCCCUGUCUCUUAUAC